rnacentral:hammerhead_ribozyme from 1 species
UUUUUGCUGAUGAGUCCCAAAUGGGACGAAACACGCGUCCUAGAU